rnacentral:rRNA from 1 species
UACGUAGGGUGCGAGCGUUGUCCGGAUUUAUUGGGCGUAAAGAGCUCGUAGGCGGUUUGUCGCGUCGGCCGUGAAAUCUCCACGCUUAACGUGGAGCGUGCGGUCGAUACGGGCAGACUUGAGUUCGGUAGGGGAGACUGGAAUUCCUGGUGUAGCGGUGAAAUGCGCAGAUAUCAGGAGGAACAGCCGGUGGCGAAGGCGGAUCUCUGGGCCGAUACUGACGCUGAGGAGCGAAAGCGUGGGGAGCGAACAGG